UACAGAGGUCUCAAGCGUUGUUCGGAUUCAUUGGGCGUAAAGGGUGCGUAGGUGGCGCCGUAAGUCGGGUGUGAAAUUUCGGAGCUUAACUCCGAAACUGCAUUCGAUACUGCGGUGCUUGAGGACUGGAGAGGAGACUGGAAUUCAUGGUGUAGCAGUGAAAUGCGUAGAGAUCAUGAGGAAGACCAGUGGCGAAGGCGGGUCUCUGGACAGUUCCUGACACUGAGGCACGAAGGUCAGGGGGAGCAAAACGGG
rnacentral:rRNA from 1 species